rnacentral:miRNA from 1 species
ACCCCUUUUCGGCCUACGUGGCAC